GGAUUUUUUUGUUUCCCACCAUAAUUUUGAAAAUGAGAGUUUAAAUGCCCUUCAAAAGUAAGUAAAUAGAUCUGAAACGUAUAAAAAUGUGGUUAAUCCCGCCGUUGCCCAAGCUAUUAUUGGAAAAAUUGGCGAAUACAACCAACUAUCAUUAAGAAUUUCAUCUUUGGACCAAAAACAAGCAAGAGGUGCAAUACCACAAAGAGAAAGUGUACAUAAUAAAAAUGUGAUUUUGGUAAUUGGUACAUGUUUUCAUAAACCUCCCAUUAGACCCAUAUUCUGGCUUUUAGCUGGAGAAUAUCCAACAAUAGUUUCCAUUGAAUGAAUAAUGGAUCCGGAUCCUAAAAUUAAUAAUGCUUUGGAAUAAGCAUGAGUAAUCAAAUGAAAUAAAGCGCUUCGAUAAGACCCCAUACCUAGAGCUAACAUCAUAUAACCCAAUUGAGAAAUUGUGGAAUAGGCUAAACCUCUCUUAAUGUCUUUUUGAGAAAGAGCUAAAGUAGGUCCUAAUAAUACUGUUAUUAUUCCUAUAACCAAGAUCAAAUACAUUAUGUAAGGUAUAACUCUAAAAAGAGGAAGAAGUCGAGCUACAAGAAAAAUUCCUGCCGCUACCAUAGUAGCAGCAUGUAUAAGAGCCGAAAUAGGAGUAGGCCCCUUCAUGGCAUUAGGUAACAAUACAAGAAGGGGGAAUUGAGCAGAUUUAGCAACUGCACCGGCAAAUAAUAGAACAGCGCAUAACGUAACAAAUAAAAAAUUCAGCUCAUUAUUAUAAAUCAAGUUAUUGAAUAUUUUGAAUAAAUCUCUAAAUUCGAAACUCCUCGUUAUCCAAUAAAAACCUAAAAUUCCUAAUAAUAAACCAAAUCCCCUACACGAUUCGUUACAAACGCUUUUUGACAAGCAUUUGCCGCAACAGGUCGUGUAAACCAAAAUCCUAUUAAUAGAUAGGAACACAGCCCAACCAAUUCCCAAAAAAUAUAAAUUUGUAUCAAAUUCGAACUAGUAACUAAUCCCAACUUGGAAGUACUGAAAAAACUCAUAUAAGCAAAAAAUCUCAAAUAGCCUUGAUCAUGAGCCAUAUAAUUAUCACUUUAAAUAAGAACCAUAAUUCCAACAGUAGUUAUUAAUAUUGACAUAAUAGAAGUAAGUGGGUCGAUCAAGUAUCCGAAGUCUAAAGAAAAAAUCAUUAUUAAUGAUCCAAGACCAUACAUAUUGAUAAACAGAACUGCUAUUUAUUUGCUGAAUAGACAGGUAGAUUGAAAAAAUCAUGACUAUGCUUAACAAUAAAACACUCUGAAAAGCCCACAUACGGCGAAACCUUUUUGUUGCCGUUGGAAAAAGAAUAAGUCCCGCUCCUAUUAACAUAGGCACUGGAAGUGGAAUGAAAGGUAUGAUCCACGCAUAUUCAUAUGUCUGUUCCAUAAAAAAGUUUUGAAUUCUUAAUUAAUUAUUUCCAAUUCACCGAAUCUUACCUCUUUUGAAAGGAGUCAAUAAAAAGUAAAAAUAUGGACUAACUUAAACUAAUUUAAAACUUAAAUAGAAUUUUUUAUUCUUACUUAUUCUGAGUCUUUGCUAAAUAUUUGAACUAUUAAAAUCACGAAGUUACGAUUGGUCAAAUGAUAUAAAAGGGAUUAAUUAUUAGUCUUUUGAAAUAAGCCUAUUUUUUAAAAUCAAAGUUUGCCAAGUGAAUCGAACGGGGAUUGAAGUUUUUCAUUUCCUGAAGUAAAACGCGGUUCUUAUCUUUAAACCUUUCGAGGUAUUUUAUUGCAUGUAAAUAAAAUGUGGAACCAUAAAUAUAAAUCAACAAUUUUUGGGAUUCGUUAUUUUAUUUUUAUAUUAAGUUCAACAAAUUUUCUUUCUUCAUUUCUACAGAACAACCGAUUAUCAAAUUCUAUAGGUAUAGAUUUGAUGAAUCAAAAAGAAUGUGAAAUAAAGAUACCAGUCAAUGGAGAACCUUUUCUUUUUUAUGAUUAUGAAUGUUUUAUUGAAUAGAAAAACUUGAAAAAAAAAUAUUGGCCUUCUUUUUUAUUUCCAGUAUUCUGCAACUUUCACAUAGUUUUUGCCUAUCUCGAUAAUGUUUAUUUGGGGAGGACACUAUUAGCUCAAAAAUAAAUAGUAGUAAAAAGAAUCUGUUUUGAACAAUAGAUGUCUUUCACAUCCAGCUAUAACAAUAAGUAAUUUUUUAAUUUCUAAAUGGCAGUUCCAAAAAAAUGCACUUCGACCUCAAAAAAGCGUAUUCGUAAAAAUAUUUGGAAAAGGAAGGGGUAUUGGGUAGCAUUAAAGGCUUUUUCAUUAGCAAAAUCUCUUUCUACCGGUAAUUCAAAAAGGUUUUUUGUACGCCAAACAAAAAUAAAUAAGUAAUAAAACGUUAGAAUAAUUUGAAUCAAUUUGAAAAAAAUUAUUCAAUUAUUCUUCAAUUAUUAUCUAAUUGAACAAUUUCCCUUUCCUCUUUGAUAUUGAUUAGCUCACCAAUCCAUAUAUAACAUAACUCUAUUCGCUUUUCUGAUUGAUAUAGAAAAUAAUAGAAUUAGGAAAUCCUCUAUUUACUAUUCACUGAAUAAUAACCUUUUUGUUGACAAAAGAGUAAAGACCAUUUCUAUUCCAAGGUGGGGAGUUUUAUUUUCCCCAUCGACCUAUUUUCACAAUAAAAUGCAAAUAAAAUUCUAUAUUUGCAUGUCUAUAGAAGAACGUAUAUAAAAAUCUUUAGUGAAAGUUAAGAACUCAUUGAAAGUAAUUGAUUCUAUUUUGAAACCUUUUUGUUUUCUCGAACUUUCUCACUUUUAAUUUUCUCUGAAUUAUUAUAUAGACCGCCAUGUAUAUCUUUCCCUUAACCCAAUAGAGAAAAUUGCUUAAUGAAAUUUUGUAUGACUAAUUGUGAAUUUUUAGCGAUGCAAAAUUGGUUCUUUUCUUUCUAUUUUGUCGUCAAAAUCCCUUUUUUGUUUUAUUUUAUAUCUAUGAAAAAAAAAGAAAUUGCUGCUUAAACAAUGAAAACAAAAACUUUUUGAACUCUAUUCCUUAAUUGAGUGUAGAACGGUUUAGUUACAAGAGUUGAAUUCGAGGAAAGCAGAAAAUAUAGGAAAGACUCAGGUUAAAUAAAAAAAACUAAGACUCUAAACUCAAAUAACAAAUAAUGAACCUUCAACCUCAAAUUCCUAUUUGAACAACUUUUUAUUGGUAUUGAUCUAUUUGAAUCAUUACUAAACUAAAAUAGCUUACUCAAUCUCGACGAUUGCUUAUUCGUAGGCUAUUAUGAGUUCAAGACAAGCCGCUAUGGUGAAAUUGGUAGACCCACUGCUCUUAGGAAGCAGUGCUAAUGCAUCUCGGUUCGAGUCCGAGUGGCGGCAUACCAUCUUCUAAAAAGGAUAAAUAGAUCUUAUAAUGAAUUCAAUUCCCGAUUUCCAUUUUAGAAUUAUGUAAUUAAGGGACUCUUCUUUUUUAAGAUUUUUAUGAUAUUUUCAACCUUAGAUCAUAUAUUAACUCACAUUUCCUUUUCUAUCGUUUCAAUUUUAAUUACAAUUCAUUUGAUAACCUUUUUUGUCUAUGAAAUUGUAGAACUAUACGAUUCGUCAGAAAAGGGCAUAAUCGUUACUUUUUUCUGUAUAACAAGAUUAUUAGUUACUCGUUGGGUUUCUUCAGGACAUUUCCCACUAACCGAUUUAUAUGAAUCAUUAAUUUUCCUUUCAUGGAUUUUCUCCCUUAUUCAUAUAAUUCCAUAUUUCAAAAAAAUGUUUUAAUUUUAAGUAAAAUAACUGGACCAAGUGCUAUUUUGACCCAAGGCUUUGCAACUUCAUGUAUUUUAACUGAAAUACACCAAUCUGGAAUCUUAGUACCUGCUCUUCACUCUGAGUGGUUAAUAAUGCACGUAAGUAUGAUGAUAUUGGGGCAUUGCAGCCCUUUUAUGUGGAUCGUUAUUAUCAGUAGCACUUCUACUGAUUACAUUUCGAAAAAACAGAAAGAUUUUUUCUAAGAGCAAUGUUUUUUUAAACGAGUCAUUUUUAUUGAGUGAAAAUGUUGUCGAAAAUACUUCAUUUUUUGUGCUAAAAAUUAUUACAGGUCCCAAUUGAUUCAACAAUUGGAUUAUUGGAGUUAUCGGGUUAUUAGUUUAGGAUUUACUUUUUAACAAUAGGAAUCCUUUCAGGAGUCGUAUGGGCUAAUGAAGUGUGGGGUUCCUAUUGGAAUUGGGAUCCAAAAGAAACUUGGGCAUUUAUUACUUGGAUCGUAUUUGCCAUUUAUUUACAUACUCGAACAAAUAGAAAUUUGCGGGGUCCAAAUUUUGCAAUUGUAGCGUCGAUAGGUUUUCUUAUAAUUUGGAUAUGCUAUUUUGGGGUCAAUCUAUUAGGAAUAGGGUUACAUAGUUAUGGUUCUUUUCCAUCAACAUUUAAUUGAAUUCAAGACAAGUUAUUACAAAUACAAGAGCGGGCGACGCAUUGUAUGAACCAGCAUGUGGACCGUGUGAAUCAAAUAUUGUAUUGAUGAUUCACAUGGUUUUCUACCAUAUGUAGUUCAAUUUCAUUGUUUUUACUUAAUUCUUAAGUUAAAAGAGAAGAAAAAAAGAAGAUUGUCUUUCAUUGUCGAAGAAUGUUUUUAAAAACAAACAUAAGUUUUUUUUUAUUUCAGUCAUCCAAUUAUCUAUACAAAAAAUUAGAUAGAAUAACUUCGACCUUGUCAACUGCUAAUGGAAGAACGAAAUCGGGGUAUAUACCUAUACCUAUUACGGGUAAAAAGAUGGAGAUCGAAAGAAAUAACUCUCGCGGUCCAGAAUAAAAAAAGAAUCCUUCGGGGCGUUAAAUAACUUGUAUCCAUAGAACAUCUGGCGUGGCAUAGAUAAUGAAUAAAUAGGAUUUAAUAUAAUUCCAAUUGCCAUUACAAAAGUAAUUAGUAGUUUUGGAAUUAAAAGAUAUUUUUGGCUGGUAAUUAUUCCAAAAAAUACUAUCAAUUCGGCAACAAAACCACUCAUACCUGGUAAUGCAAGGGAAGCCAUCGAAAAGCUACUGAACAUCGCGAACAUUUUUGGCAUUGGAAUAGAUAUUCCGCCUAUUUCGUCAAGAUAAACAAGGUGGAUUCUAUCAUAAGUCGUUCCCGCCAAGAAAAAAAGUGCAGCACUAAUAAAUCGAUGAGAGAUUAUUUGUAAAAGGGCUCUAUUUAGUCCCGUAUCGGUUAGAGAACUAAUUCCUAUAAUUAUAAAACCCAUAUGAGAGACAGAGGAAUAGGCUAUUCUUUUUUUUUAAAUUCCGUCGGCCAAGAGAUGUUGAAGCUGCAUAGAUUAUUUGUAUUGUACCUAUUAUCAUCAACCAAGGAGAAAAUAUAAAAUGGGCAUGAGGUAAUAAUUCCAUAUUGAUUCGAAUUAAUCCAUACGCUCCCAUUUUUAAUAAGAUUCCGGCUAGAAGCAUACAAGUAAUGUAAUGUGCUUCUCCAUGGGUAUUUGGUAACCAUGUGUGUAGGGGGAUAAUGGGCGAUUUGACAGCAAAAGCAAUAAAAAAAUCCAAUAUAGAAGAUUAUUUCUAAAACCACAAGAUAUGAGUGAUUAACUGAUGUUUCAAAAUUUAAUGUUGGUUCAUUAGAACCAUAUAAAGCAACACCCAAAACUCCCAUUAAGAGAAAAACGGAACCCCCCGCCGUGUACAAAAUAAAUUUUGUAGCUGAGUACAGACGUUUCUUUCCUCCCCACAUGGCUAGAAGUAGAUAAACAGGAAUUAAUUCUAACUCCCACAUGAUGAAAAAAAGUAAAAGGUCCCGAGACGAAAAUAAUCCAAUUUGACCACUGUACAUUGCUAACAUGAGAAAAUGGAAUAAUCUAGAAUCUCGAGUAACUGGCCAAGCCGCUAAAGUCGCUAAAGUAGUGAUAAAUCCUGUUAAUAAAAUGGGUCCUAUAGAAAGUCCAUCUAUUCCUAAUCUCCAAUGGAAAUCAAAAAAAUCGAUCCAUUUAUAAUCCUCUACUAGUUGGAUUAAUGGAUCAUCCGAUUGGAAAUGAUAACAAAAUGCAUAAGUUGUUAGAAGGAGUUCUAAAAUACAUAUACAUAUUGUAUACCACCUAAUUACCCUAUUUCCUUUAUGGGGAAGAAAGAAAAUUAAAGAACCCGCAAAUAUCGGAAAAAACGACAAUUAUUGUUAACCAAGGAAAAUAAUUCGUAGUAAAGACAAGAUACACUUGGACCAAAAAAACCCGUGCUCAAAAUAUUUUUAUUUUCGAGCACAGGUUUGUCGGUAAAAAAAUUAAAUGGAUUCAAGUAGAGUUUUCUCGAACGUAUCAAUAAGCUAGACCCAUACUGCGAGUUGUUUCAUGCCAUAAAUAAACUCGGACACUCAAGAAAUCUGUUGGACAGGCGGAUUCACAUCUCUUACAACCAACACAGUCCUCUGUUCGUGGAGCAGAAGCAAUUUGUUUAGCCUUACAACCGUCCCAAGGUAUCAUUUCUAAUACAUCAGUGGGGCAGGCUCGGACACAUUGAGUACAUCCUAUACACGUAUCAUAAAUCUUUACUGAAUGUGACAUUGGGCCUAUACGUUUUUGAAUGUUCUAAAUUUUCGAUCUAGUAAACUUAGAAACGAAUCGUAUAUUUAGAUACCAGAUGAAUCAAUGAGUUAUCAUAAUUUUCUAAUCAACCCCUUUCUGGAUUGGUUUAUGAGAUAUGAGAGAGGCCAAAAUACUUUGAUUUCUUAUGUUUUGCAAACAAGAUCAUACUUUACGUAGUAAACAUGCUAAUUAAAAUAGAUUUCUCAAUAUUAGAAUCUAGAUGAUUAAUAUUAAUUAUUCAACAAAUUUGAUUGGUUGAUACGAGUUGAUUUUCUGUUACGGUAAAUUGAUGAAACAAUAGCCAGGCCAAUGGCUGCUUCAGCGGCUGCAAUAGCUAUAACAAAAAUUGAGAAAAUGUCUCCCUUUAAUUGACGAUUAUCAAAAAAAUCAGAAAAUGUUACAAAAUUGAUAUUAACUGCAUUCAAUAUAAGUUCAAGACACAUAAGGGCUCUAACCAUAUUUCGACUUGUGAUCAAUCCAUAGAUACCGAUGGAAAAUAAAUAGGCACUCAAAACAAGUACAUGUUCGAGAAUCAUUAAACAACUCCUUAUCAAUCCCGACUCCUUUCAAUAUGAACAACAAUUCAACUAACUUAAUUGACUAGUAUAUAACAAGUAUGGAACAAAGAAAUAUAUUGUUACUAGAUUGACCUAAAGUCUUUCUAUUUAUCCAGCUAGAAUUCAAAUAGAAUUGAAGGAAAAUUAAUGUGAUAAGACAGAACAAAAUUUUAUUUGAAUUCCAAGUUUUAAUAGAAAUUUUUUAUUGACGAGCUACAGCAAUUGCACCUAUUAAAGCAACUAAAAGGAUUAUGGAAAUAAGUUCAAAUGGGAGAAAAAAAUCUGUUGAUAAAUGAAUUCCAAUUUGUUGACUAUUACUUAGAAAAUCUUGCUCUAUAAUCUGGUUUGAUCUUGUAGUCCAAAUAAUCCCGUACCAUGACGUAUCUGAAAUAGUAGUAAUUAGUGAAAUAAAAAGACUUAUACAAACCAUCGAAGUAAUUCCAUCUCCUACGGUCCAAAGAUGAAAAUCCUUGUAAUAUUCUGAGCCAUUCAUGAACAUCACAGCAAAAAUGAUUAAAACAUUUAUAGCUCCUACGUAAAUAAGUAGCUGCGCAGCAGCUACAAAAUAGGCGUUAGAUAGAAUAUAGAAUAACGAUGUACAAACAAGAACCAAUCCCAAGGAAAAGGCCGAAUAAAUUGGAUUGGGAAGUAAUACCACUCCUAGACCCCCUAAUAUAAGACCCGAUCCUAGAAAGACUAAAAGAAAAUCAUGUAUUGGUUCAGAUAAAUCCAUUUUUUAUAAAAAAUCAAAAACGAAGAAUUUCAUGACUUUAUUGACCUGACCAGGAAAAAAGCAGUUUUUCUAUUUUUUAUGAUACUUUGAAAUUGUUAAUUGAAUGAAAGUCUAAUGGGUAUGAAUUGACGUAGAUGCUUUUAUUUUAUUGGACCACUAUCCAUUCUUUAUUCGUCGAAAGAGGAGUUUAAACCUAUCUAUUUUUGAUAUCAUUUAUCUACUUUGAAACCAUUACUAUU
rnacentral:lncRNA from 1 species